CCUACGGGUGGCAGCAGUGGGGAAUAUUGCACAAUGGGGGAAACCCUGAUGCAGCAAUGCCGCGUGAAGGAAGACGGUCUUCGGAUUGUAAACUUCUGUUCUUAGUGAAGCAUAAUGACGGUGGCUAAGGAGCACGCCACGGCUAACUACGUGCCAGCAGCCGCGGUUAUACGUAGGUGGCAAGCGUUGUCCGGAAUUACUGGGGGUAAAGGGAGCGCAGGCGGGAAGCCAAGUCAGCUGUGAAAACUACGGGCUUAACUUGUAGACAGCAGUUGAAACUGGUUUUCUUGAGUGAAGUAGAGGUAAGCGGAAUGCCGGGUGUAGCGGUGAAAUGCGUAGAUAUUCGGAAGAACACCGGUGGCGAAGGCGGCCCACUGGGCUUUAACUGACGCUGAGGCACGAAAGUGUGGGGAGCAAACAGGAUUAGAUACCCCAGUAGUC
rnacentral:rRNA from 1 species